GCGGACCCCACCACACGCCGGGCGCAGCCCACCGGGAGGAGAGAGGAGGGGGCGGCGAGGCGCGGCGUAAACCAGCGCCGGGCGCGUCGCCGGCAGUCAGUGUUGGCAGUUCAAAGCCAUUCGUAUCAUAGGGAAGUGGCAAUGCAAGAAAACAUGACAGGAAAUGGUGAAUAGAGCUCCUGCUACCCUUCGGUUAGGAAAAGGGAAGGCUUUUAUGAAAGAAAGAGAGUAUUUCCUGAAUGAUUCAAGUGUAUAGCACAUGACGUAAUUCAUAAGUGCAAUUUAUUAACGUUCCUCUUACCCUGAAGCUUGGCAGGAACUGUACUUCACUGGCAAUUGAAGCUACAAUCAAAAUCUCCUAAACUGGUCUCAGGAGGCUGGAGAUUCUUUGCUGAAAUGCAGCCACAAGACUCUAGCUUCAGGGCCAACAUAUUACCUGCUGGAGAAGUUCAUCUGGAAAGGACUAAGUCAGGUCCAGUGGUCCAACUGUUUUGAUGCAGUCUGGGAAGUAUGUUAACUGCAGAGCUGCUGAACCAAACUGUUUUGCCAACCUUCCCUCAAGAACCUGUUUGAUCAUAACCAUUACCUGUCACAGCUGGUAACUGCAACUGGAGUCUGAUUUAAUCUCAAGAGAUUAUGACACCAUGAAGAUACUAUAUCUCAAC